AUCCGGCACUCUGUCAGCCCGACCUUUCGGCCCGAGGUUUUAGGGGUUAGACGAGGUCCACCAGUUUGGUAGGGUGGUAGGGGGCCGCGUGGUGGUACCGUCGUAGGGGCGGCCGCUAGGACCUGCUCGAGAAGCUUCUCUAGGAGGAGGCGGAGGGCGGGCUGCUGGGCCGGACGGAGGAGGCGCGGAGGGAGCAGACGUUCCUGACCCCAACGCGGCAGAGGGCGGGGGUGAAGGCGGCGGCGGAGGUGCUCGAGGUGGCCCGCGGGGGCCACGAGCCGGAGGAGGUGCUGGACCUUACGCUCGCGCAGGGUGCUAAGUAGGGGUGGUGGCGCAGCAGGAAGAGGGAGCGGCGAGGCCUGCCGGCCAAGACCGCCUGGGAGCUGACGGCGGUGCCGGCGCGGGAGAAGGAGAGGUUGGGGGUCAGGGGCCUUUGAGUCCUCGAAGAGCACACCCUCGGUUAGUGCCCACGGGUCGUCGCGUAUUGCCACGGGCGCCGCGAGGUCUCGUUGAAGGGGUACCGCCGGCAGAAGACGCGCCGCCUGCCCACGCUGGUGGCGCGGACGGAGCCCCCGGGAAAGGCGCACGAGAAGUAGGAGAGCCAGCACCAUCCGGUUCAGUGACUGCUGCCGACGAUAGAGUGCAGCCGCACACGUAUGAGCAGCCUCUGACCGUGGACCCCGCUCGGCUGGAGCAACGGGGCGGCGAGCGGGUACGGGUACUAGAAAUGUAAAAUAAGGUCACACGAGCAACCUUUCAGAGACGAGAUGAAGUACAGACUACUACCUAAGUAAGAUCUCACACUGAACCGUUCCGUGUCUGACCGACACAAGUUGGGUGGUUUGGUACUCGACCAGACGCCGGUUAUAUGGUAGUACGAGCGGCUCCUGCCACCUGACCCUCAAACGGUUUCCAACUUAGUCGUCGAGUUUAACACCAGUUCCCUCCACUCACUGUCCCGACUACGUGCUACCUACGACUCGGCCCAGCAGAUGGACCUUUUAAACGAGGGUCAACCACGAGAACACCUACGUCUCUGGUCUCACGUUCACGACCCGAAACGGCUCCCUCGUUUAUGGUAAAAGGACUGGUGCCAACUACCGUAGAAGUACUAGCUUGACGUUAGUCUCGCCCGCUCCUCCCACACGCCACUAGUAGAGAAAACAAUAAACUAAGGUCAACAGUCGAAGAUGUGAGGACACGGAGCUCCACUCGUGUCCCUAGGCAGCAACUUCGUAUCACUCCUAAGUCCACCACCCCUCGUUCCUCCCCUCCUCUUUUGUCUCCUUGUGGUUAACUAGUUGCUUUACUCAGUUUACAAUGGUUCCCCCUGAAACAGUUGCGAAAGCUAACGUAGUUGGUGCGGUAUCUCUUGUCCCAAGGUGGGAUACUACUUCAACGAGGACUCACAUGGUCGUACCAAAUGCCUGUACAUACGCAGAACGAUAUACUUCUUAUGCACUUCUGAAGUUGGUCGUUUCUACUACGACCCUUGAGUUUGCUGGAGUCCAUCGUUACAACUACUACGAGGUGGAAGUCUCUUUUCCCAAGGUGGUUUGCCUCUUCAACAAAACCUCAGAUGUCUGUACCCACAUCGCGAUAUGCUUCGAGCUCUCCACUGACCAGGAAACCCACCACAAGGCUUCUGACGUACUUACUUCUUAGCCACUUCUCAAGUCGUAGUCGUUACAACUUCGACCCAUGAGUACUCCCAAGGGGGUUAAAGGGACCUCAGAUGGUCGUGCCAGAUACCUGUACCUGCGCCGUACGACAUACUUCGAGUUCUCCACUAACUAGGAAACACAUUACAAAGCACUUCAGAAGUCUACGCUGGUCGUUUCUACUACGACCCUUUACUUUUUUUUUUGACACCAACGUUACAACUGCUAUGAAAUGGAAGUCUCUUUACACUGGGAACUAAGUAACAGGGAAAGGGGUCUGGUUACCAUUACCACCACUUUGUGCGUCAAAGCGUCUUCGUCAUUAUUAUUCCAUACUUCAACGGGAACACACCUUAUCAAGGAGUCAACAAUGUGUGUCUUUUUCCCAUACAUGACAACACAUAAUACAUUGAACACAAACCCUGAACCUUUUCAAACGG
rnacentral:rRNA from 1 species